rnacentral:rRNA from 1 species
UGAGUAACACGUGAGCAACCUGCCCUGGACUCUGGGAUAAGCGCUGGAAACGGCGUCUAAUACUGGAUAUGAGCUCUCAUCGCAUGGUGGGGGUUGGAAAGAUUUUUCGGUCUGGGAUGGGCUCGCGGCCUAUCAGCUUGUUGGUGAGGUAAUGGCUCACCAAGGCGUCGACGGGUAGCCGGCCUGAGAGGGUGACCGGCCACACUGGGACUGAGACACGGCCCAGACUCCUACGGGAGGCAGCAGUGGGGAAUAUUGCACAAUGGGCGGAAGCCUGAUGCAGCAACGCCGCGUGAGGGAUGACGGCCUUCGGGUUGUAAACCUCUUUUAGCAGGGAAGAAGCGAGAGUGACGGUACCUGCAGAAAAAGCGCCGGCUAACUACGUGCCAGCAGCCGCGGUAAUACGUAGGGCGCAAGCGUUAUCCGGAAUUAUUGGGCGUAAAGAGCUCGUAGGCGGUUUGUCGCGUCUGCUGUGAAAUCCCGAGGCUCAACCUCGGGCCUGCAGUGGGUACGGGCAGACUAGAGUGCGGUAGGGGAGAUUGGAAUUCCUGGUGUAGCGGUGGAAUGCGCAGAUAUCAGGAGGAACACCGAUGGCGAAGGCAGAUCUCUGGGCC